rnacentral:rRNA from 1 species
UACGAAGGGGGCUAGCGUUGCUCGGAAUGACUGGGCGUAAAGGGCGCGUAGGCGGAUGGCUUUGUCGGGCGUGAAAUCCCCGGGCUCAACCUGGGAAUGGCAUUUGGGACUGCAAGGCUGGAGUGCGGCAGAGGAGACUGGAAUUCCUGGUGUAGCAGUGAAAUGCGUAGAUAUCAGGAGGAAUACCGAUGGCGAAGGCAGAUCUCUGGGCCGUAACUGACGCUGAGGAGCGAAAGCAUGGGGAGCGAACAGG